rnacentral:lncRNA from 7 species
CUGGAAGCUUUAACGGUUGAUGGGCAGCAGUAAAUGUGGUGGCUUACACCUUUAGGAAACCGGUGCUGUGAGGAGAUGGCUGCUGCGAAGUUUGCCUGAGGAAAAGGCUGCAUUCGUUCUCCUGGGAAGAUUGUUUGCUGAAGGCUCCCUGAGCAUACAUUCUGAAAGCAAGGAACCUUGGUGAGAAGUGUGCCACUGGAACCUACCUAUGCAGGUAGGGGGAGCCAGCCAGACAAGUGACAGUGCAAGAGGGGCUUCCCAUGCGCCGUUUUAGUGGGCAAUGCUUGCUGCAGAUGAGGAAGUCAUGGAGUCGACAUCAUGAACCCAGGAAGUGGAGAACUGAUGGAGGAAUACAGCAGAAGGUUGCACGUGAGAGGUGGACAACGCAGACUGGGUGGAACAGGAAGUAUUCUGGUGGUCCUGCUGCUGGAGGAUCUCAGGGCUAUGCAGGGCUGCAGUGAUGGUAAUGAGCCUCCUCAUGAAGCACACUGUUUGGCCACCAAGACUUGGUUGUGACUUCCACAACAGGACCAUCUUGUCAAGCCCUUACUUACACAGGAAGCCCAGAAUGAUGCUGUGUCUUGUGUGCAUCUCCCACCGCCCAUCAACUGAGAUAGUUUUGAUCUCUUGUUGGAGGCACUGAAGCAGGAAUCCUCAACUUCAGUCCAGGCACAAGUUCAUGCUAGUCUCUGCCAUUGCUCGAAUUUAUACAGCCAGGGUCAGUGACAUUAGUCACCUCCCACUGACUUUGCAACCCCUUCGCUGGUGACCUCAUAGUCAAUAAUUGCUGCUUUUUUUUUUUUUUAAGUUUCAUUCAUUUUGUAAGUUGGUAGGUAAAACUCUAUGCUUGCCUGGUCAAAUCUGAAUGCAGUACCUAGAAAUCUAUGCAGAUAAUAUAUGGAAUCACUGUUCUAUUUUAAAGUUUGAAGUAUUGUGAAAGGUUGUAAAUACUGCUUUUUAUUUUAUUUGAAAUUUAGAAGUUAUUGAUUUCCUAGCACCUUAUUAUUACUUAAUGAUAUUAUUAGGUGGAAGCGACAUAAUGUGUUCAUGUAGUAUUAAUGCACUAAUGGAUACUUUGUGUUACAUUCCUGUUUGCUUUCAAUAUAUUUCAGUAGUUUGUUUUUAGGGGAUUAGAAUAUAUGUUAUUUCAGAGUAGCUUAAAAGUUUGCUGCUGCAAUUCUGAGAUAUGCUGAUGAACUAGACUGUUACUUUUAAUAAAGUGAGAGUCAUUUGUAGCAUAUUUAGAACCCUUUUUUACCUUUUGAAGAAUAAUAAAUUGGUAAUUCACUUUCAAAAUAAUCUUCUGUAUCUGGGUAAGUCCUAUGUAACUUCAUGGUUAAUAAUACAUGUGCAUAUUCUGUUAAUAUAUUUGAUCAGAAGCUUGCACUGAGUGUGUCCAAAAUCCCCUGGAGUCCAUAUGUGCUGCUAGAAGUGUUUCUGGGUUCACAGAAUUUUUUGUUUCACAGUUGCAUUAUUUGAGCAUCAGUUGAAUACCCAGAUAAGCUGAUGUGAGUGGAGAUGAACUUACUGGGGCUUUUGAAAUGUUUAGGUAAACGCAUGCGCAGCCCCAAGUUCAGCAGGAGGCAUGAACAAGAAAGACUGUUCUUGAAGAACGGGCUGGGGUUGGCAAGGCAAAAUUCCAUCUUAUAAGAAAACCAUGCUGGCUAUUCCCAAAUGAUUUCCAGCCUGUCUUGUCUGAUUUUGUCUGGGAAAUGAGGUAGAUCUACUUCUGAAUGUUCACAGGAAAUCUUAGAAAUUCAGUGGAAAGUUGCUUAUACAAGAGAAGAUAUGGCUAUGCCACUGAUAUUUUUUAAUAGUCAUGCAUUCUCAGUACUUUGCACUCACAUAUUUUCCUUGUUCACCUAAUUAUGAUUAUUUACAAGAUAUAUUAUCCCUAACAAUCUUGACAUUACUAGUGAAAAUAGCACUGUGUUUAGUCGUUAACUCUGGAUUCUCCUUAUCUCAUAUUCUCAUAUUGAUGUCCGUUAUUGUUUGCUGCUCUGAAAAUGUACUUUCCUUUGCUAGAUGGUUUAAAACAAGCAGGUAAUGUUCUCUUGAGUUGAAUGGAUGGCAAAGGAAGACGAAAGGAUUUACAUAAUGGUUCAACAAGAGCACUUAAUAAAUAAUUUAUAAUCAUCAAAUGCCAGCCUUAUCUGAAACUUGACAGGUCUUUCUUUUAUGAUUCAGUAGUGUCUGUGACGACCUGGCCGUCUCUUAAUGUUAUAAAUGCAUUCUGGUGUCAUUCAGCCACAGUUCCUUUAUAAAAUGUCAGAAGUGUCAGUUUGAUGUUGCUACUGAUAUCCAUGAACUAUGUGUUAGUAAAUGAAUUUCUCUCAGGAAAAUACUAAUGAGCAUUAAAAUACUUUCUC